GUCCACGCCCUAAACGAUGUCAACUAGGUGUUGGGAGGGUAAACCUUUUAGUACCGGAGCUAACGCGUGAAGUUGACCGCCUGGGGAGUACGGCCGCAAGGUUAAAACUCAAAGGAAUUGACGGGGACCCGCACAAGCGGUGGAUGAUGUGGAUUAAUUCGAUGCAACGCGAAAAACCUUACCUACCCUUGACAUGCCAAGAACUUUCCAGAGAUGGAUUGGUGCCCGAAAGGGAGCUUGGACACAGGUGCUGCAUGGCUGUCGU
rnacentral:rRNA from 1 species